GACUUGCCUUGUCUCAGAUGAGACUUUGGACUCUGGACUUUUGAGUUAAUGCUGAAAUGGGUUAAAACUUUGGCAGACUCUUGGGAAGACAUGAUUUGUUUUGAAAGGUGAGAAGGACAUUAGAUGCC